rnacentral:rRNA from 1 species
GAUGAACGCUGGCGGCGUGCCUAAUACAUGCAAGUAGAACGCUGAAGGAGGAGCUUGCUCUUCUGGAUGAGUUGCGAACGGGUGAGUAACGCGUAGGUAACCUGCCUGGUAGCGGGGGAUAACUAUUGGAAACGAUAGCUAAUACCGCAUGACAACAGUUAUUGCAUGAUAACUGUUUAAAAGGGGCAACUGCUCCACUACCAGAUGGACCUGCGUUGUAUUAGCUAGUUGGUGAGGUAACGGCUCACCAAGGCGACGAUACAUAGCCGACCUGAGAGGGUAAUCGGCCACACUGGGACUGAGACACGGCCCAGACUCCUACGGGAGGAAGCAGGAGGGAAUCUUCGGCAAUGGACGGAAGACUGACCGAGCAACGCCGCGUGAGUGAAGAAGGGUUUCGGAUCGUAAAGCUCUGUUGUAAGAGAAGAACGAGUGUGAGAGUGGAAAGUUCACACUGUGACGGUAUCUUACCAGAAAGGGACGGCUAACUACGUG